AUGACAGAGAAAGGGAUUGCAGAGGAGUCUUUGGAGGGGCUCCUGGUGACAGGUUCAAAAUGAUGUGGUGCAGAGUCGGGCUCCUGACUGGGUAAAACUAUUUCACUGCUGUUAAUGCAGUAACCACAAGAGAAGAUCAGUAACCAUUUACAAGGCAGCAGGCAGAAGAGUGAUGGUAUACUCUCCAUUUUCCUGGAUGAAUGCAGCUCCAAAAACUUGCAAGAAGCUCGACAUGAUCCAGGACAAAGCAGCUCCUUGGAUUGGCACCUCAUCAACCGCCAUAAACAAUGACACAUGUUAUUGCCAAUGCAUACUGUAUCACAUACAUGCGCUGCAAUUUGCCAAGGCUCCCUCAGCAGCAUCUUCCAAACGUGCAACUUCAACCACCUGGGGCAUAGGUUUCCCUCAAAGUGACACAUCGUCCAGACGUGGAAAGAUAUCAAAGUUCCUGUUGCUGCAUCAGCAUCCUCUCCAACACCUAUGUGAAUGCACCAAUAUUAACUGGACUGCGCCAAUUCAAGGUGUUUCAUCAUCAUCCUCUCAAAGGGCAAGUAAGGAUGGGAAAUAUGGGCUGAGUCUUUCCAGUGAUAUCCACAUCCCAUGCACACAUAAAAUAAACAUUGUGACUGAUGGUUUA